AAGAGAGUACAAAUAACACACAAGAGAGAGAGGUCAAGUACACGAUCCAAACCAAACCAUUAACAUCAAGAAUAAACCAAGAGAUGCCAUACCAGUUUAAACACCCUUCUUCUUAGUUCUUCCUUUUUUGCAUUGCUCGCUUUUUCAUCUUUAUAUUGUUUCUUUUAAUCAAAUCUCAAGCAUAGCUCCAACCUCCAAGUUUACUCUCUCAGGUGUAUUUUGUCAGAUCUCUACACCAAAGCACUCGUUCUUGGUCUCACUUGUUACCAAGCCCCCCCCC
rnacentral:lncRNA from 1 species